UACGUAGGGGGCAAGCGUUGUCCGGAGUUACUGGGCGUAAAGCGCACGCAGGCGGUCUUUUAAGUUUGGAGUGACAGUUGGUGGCUUAACUGCCAAAGUGCUUCGAAAACUGAAAGACUUGAGGGCUUCAGAGGGACACGGAAUUCCGGGUGGAGUGGUGAAAUGCGUAGAGAUCCGGAGGAACACCAAAGGCGAAGGCGGGUCUCUGGGCCGAUACUGACGCUGAGGAGCGAAAGCGUGGGGAGCGAACAGG
rnacentral:rRNA from 1 species